AGAGUCCGAGGUACUUCAUCUUGGAGUCUCCCCAGUGGAACCGGAACUGGGUGCGUAAUGAGUUGCAAUCCCCACUGGGGAUUGUAAUGUUUAGGACCUAGCAUUUGGAGAGGUUCAAUCCGAGGCCAGAAAGGCAACCGUAGGUUAUGAAUUCUUGCAUCAAACAUGGUAAUGUGAUCCUGGGUUGCUUAACAAAAAAUAGCAUGUCAUCAGCA